rnacentral:rRNA from 1 species
AUGGAGGUAACAAUUUCAAGCAUAUCAUUCAUUGCCUUAGCCAUAGUGCUCCUCCUUUGGUUUCUUCGUCCCACCCACAAUAGGCAUCAGCUUCCUCCCGGCCCAUGGACCCUUCCGAUCAUCGGCAGCCUCCACCACGUCUUCGGUGUCCUCCCGCACCACAUCAUGGUGGUGUUGUCUAGCCGGCAUGGCCCACUGAUGUUCCUCAAGCUGGGCGAGGUCCCCACCGUGGUGGUAUCGAGCACCGAGAUGGCGGAGGUGGUGAUGAAGAGUAAGGACCUCAUGUUCGCCUCGCGGCCCCGCAGCGUGACGCUGGACGUCAUUGGCUAUGGCAGCGGCAUGGGCAUCAUCUUUGCCCCCUACGGCGACCGCUGGCACUAG